UGUCCAGUAGCACCUUAGAGACCAACUAAGUUUGUUCUGGGUAUAAGCUUUUGUGAACAAACUUAGUUGGUCUCUAAGGUGCUACUGGACA